rnacentral:rRNA from 1 species
CGUAACAAGGUCUCCGUUGGUGAACCAGCGGAGGGAUCAUUAUAGAGUUUUCUAAACUCCCAACCCAUGUGAACUUACCUUUUGUUGCCUCGGCAGAAGUUAUAGGUCUUCUUAUAGCUGCUGCCGGUGGACCAUUAAACUCUUGUUAUUUUAUGUAAUCUGAGCGUCUUAUUUUAAUAAGUCAAAACUUUCAACAACGGAUCUCUUGGUUCUGGCAUCGAUGAAGAACGCAGCGAAAUGCGAUAAGUAAUGUGAAUUGCAGAAUUCAGUGAAUCAUCGAAUCUUUGAACGCACAUUGCGCCCAUUAGUAUUCUAGUGGGCAUGCCUGUUCGAGCGUCAUUUCAACCCUUAAGCCUAGCUUAGUGUUGGGAAUCUACUUCUCUUAGGAGUUGUAGUUCCUGAAAUACAACGGCGGAUUUGUAGUAUCCUCUGAGCGUAGUAAUUUUUUUCUCGCUUUUGUUAGGUGCUAUAACUCCCAGCCGCUAAACCCCCAAUUUUUUGUGGUUGACCUCGGAUCAGGUAGGAAUACCCGCUGAACUUAAGCAUAU